AAGAGUCAUCUAACCUUUUGGAUCUGGAACUGACAACUAGUAACGAUUUGAGAUACGAUACUGAUCCCAAAGUCAUUCCAAAUCAGCUUCAGACAGCGUAGACUCCUCGCUUCUUGGAUCCAAGAAAUGCUUGAGGACCAAAUUUUUCGAUCUUUGAGCCAAGAAAAGCCUAAGAUGGGAUGAGCAAACCACUUCAGUGGAUGACUGAGGAAGAUCCUCAACAUCUUUUGAUGUGAGGAGGUCAAGAGCCGUGAUCCCUCAAGCGACUCCUACCUCCGAAACCAUCCCCAAGACUCGACAUUAGAAUGGAAGAAAAAAAAGAAAGGGAAAUGGAGUAGAGAGGCAAGAAAUAAGCGAGAAUAAUAGGAAGGUAGAUGGAAAACUA
rnacentral:lncRNA from 1 species